rnacentral:rRNA from 1 species
GACGAAGGGGGCAAGCGUUGUUCGGAAUUACUGGGCGUAAAGGGCGCGUAGGCGGCCCUAUAAGUCAGGCGUGAAAUCCCCAGGCUCAACCUCAAGCUGUCGGUGGAAACCCCUUGGCUAGAGUCCGGAAGAGGAGAGUGGAAUUCCUGGUGUAGCGGUGAAAUGCGCAGAUAUCAGGAAGAACACCAAUGGCGAAGGCAGCUCUCUGGGACGGUACUGACACUGAGACGCGAAAGCGUGGGGAGCAAACAGG